rnacentral:lncRNA from 1 species
GAAAUUUCAAAGUAUAAUACAACAUUUCCUGCCAACCACAAUCUCAAACAAUGAAUUUACUCAAUUGAGCUCAAUAUCAAAUAUCAACUUAUAUUCCAACAUUUAGCUUCAAUUGCACUUACAAAUACUUGUUAAAUUAAGGAUCGUCUUACGGAUUUGAGUACAUCGUUUGCCCGGUGCCACAAUUUGCUUGAAUAUUUUACAAUGCUAUAACUCAGUAUGGUUUCCUUCACUGAAAUACCAUACCUACUUUUCACAACACAGUAUGGUUUUCUUCACUGAAACACUAUACCUACUUUUCACAACUCAGUAUGGCUUUCUUCACUGAAACACCAUACCUACUUUUCACAAAUUUCCAUGAAUUCACCAUGGGCUUAUUAGUCAAUUCAUCAUUGAUUACAGAAUGUAUGUACUCAAUCCUGCGUAUCCCUUAAUUUAAACUAACAAUCUCAUUUUUUUUCUCAUUUUUACCAUAAUCAUAAUUCAAGAACAAUAUACAAAUUGAUACAAUAAAUCAUUCCCACAUUAACAAUUAAUCAUAAAAAUUUAGCCAUAUGAACUUACCUGGGCCAAUUUGUAGGAUUUGUAAAAGUUCAGAGACUAUUUUGAUACUUUCUCUUUUCCGCAUUUAUCUUCAGAUUCCCGAUCUAUAAUAUAAAAUUUUUCAUUAAUUAGCAUCUAACUCAAUACUAAUUCACUUCACAAUUUAUGCCCUUCAAUUUUUGAAAUUACACUUUUACCCUAAACUUAUAAUUUUUACAAUCUAGUCCCUACUCAAUUAACACUUUAAUUGAACUAAUUUUUUCCUCAAAUAACACUUUGUCUAAUAAUUUUAAGCUAUUAUACAGCCUUUGAUAUUCAAAAUUUCAGUACAAAACCCCAGUCCCUAGCUUUUUAAUAAUUAAGUCCUAAAAAUCAUUUCCUACUAAAGUCACUUAAUAAAAUCAUAAUAUAAUAAAAUUAAAGCUUCAAAUAUAUGAUAUUCAUCAUAAAAUUCCAGUACUCACUCAUGGUAACUUUAAAAAUCAUUCAUAGAAUCAAAAACAAAUGAAUUCAAUAGUUGGACUUAUUUGUAAAAGUCACAAAAUAUGAAAAAUUACAAAGGAAAAGCAAGAAUUGAACUUACAUGAUGAAAAAUAUGAAAAAACAGCUUGAAAAAUCUCUCCUAUGGCGUUUUGGCUGAAGAAAAAUGAUGAUAUC